rnacentral:rRNA from 1 species
AGUGAACGCUAGCGGUGCGCCUAACACAUGCAAGUCGAGUGGGUUUAGACCCACGGCGAACGGCUGAGUAACACGUUGGUACCUGCCCCGAACUCAGGGAUAACCCGCCGAAAGGCGGGCUAAUACCGGAUAGUCCCGAAAGGGUAAAGAUUUUUCGGUUCGGGAGGGGCCUGCGGCCUAUCAGGUAGUUGGUGAGGUAAUGGCUCACCAAGCCUAUGACGGGUAACUGGUCUGAGAGGACGACCAGUCAGAAUGGGACUGAGACACGGCCCAUACUCCUACGGGAGGCAGCAGUGAGGAAUCUUCCGCAAUGGGGGCAACCCUGACGGAGCGACACCGCGUGAAGGAUGAAGAUAGUUUCUAUCGUAAACUUCUGUUUUGAGGGACGAAAUUUUUGACGGUACCUCAAGAGAAAGCACCGGCUAAUUCUGUGCCAGCAGCCGCGGUAAGACAGAAGGUGCAAGCGUUACUCGGAAUUACUGGGCGUAAAGCGUCCGCAGGUGUUCUUACAGGUCUGGCGUAAAAUCACGGAGCUCAACUCCGUGCUCGUGCCGGAAACCAUAAGAAUUGAGUCAUUCAGAGGCAUCUGGAAUGUCGUGUGUAGGGGUAAAAUCCGUAGAUCCACGAUGGAACGCCAAAAGCGAAGGCAGGAUGCUGGGAAUGUACUGACACUCAGGGACGAAAGCGUGGGGAGCAAACCGGAUUAGAUACCCGGGUAGUCCACGCCCUAAACGAUGUGUGCUCGGUGUUGGAACUUCAAUCUGUUCCAGUGCCUUAGCUAACGCGGUAAGCACACCGCCUGGGAAGUACGGCCGCAAGGUUAAAACUCAAAGGAAUAGACGGGGACCCACACAAGCGGUGGAGCAUGGGGUUUAAUUCGAUGAUAACCGAAGCACCUCACCCAGGCUUGACAUCUUAAGAAUUCCCGAGAAAUCGGGGAGUGCCGCAAGGAACUUAAAGACAGGCGAUGCACGGUCGUCGUCAGCUCGUGCCUUGAGGUGUACUGUUAAGUCAGCAAACGAGCGCAACCCUCAUCCUAUGUUGUUAUUUCAUGGGAGACUGCCGCCUCCAAGGCGGAGGAAGGUGAGGAUGACGUCAGAUCAGCGUGUCCCUUAUGCCUGGGGCCACACCCGUGCUACAAUGGUCGGUACAAAGGGAAGCCAACCCGCGAGGGGGAGCCAAUCCCAUCAAAACCGAUCUCAGUUCGGAUUGAAGUCUGCAACUCGACUUCAUGAAGUUGGAAUCGCUAGUAACCGUGAAUCAGCUAUGUCACGGUGAAUAUGUUCCUGGGUCU